rnacentral:tRNA from 1 species
GGAGAGAUGGCCGAGUGGCUUAAGGUGCUCGCCUGGAACGCGAGUAUACGGGAAACCGUAUCGGGGGUUCGAAUCCCCCUCUCUCCUCCA